AGCAGCGUGGCUCAGACGGAAAGAGCCUGGACUUCGGAGUCAGAGGUCAUGGGUUUGACUCCCGGCUCUGCCA
rfam:Ornithorhynchus anatinus chromosome 3, whole genome shotgun sequence.